rnacentral:rRNA from 1 species
CUCGGCUCUCGCAUCGAUGAAGAACGUAGCGAAAUGCGAUACUUGGUGUGAAUUGCAGAAUCCCGUGAACCAUCGAGUUUUUGAACGCAAGUUGCGCCCAAAGCCAUUAGGCUAAGGGCACGUCUGCCUGGGCGUCACGCAUCACGUCGCCCCAACCCCAA